AACGAACGCUGGCGGCAUGCCUAACACAUGCAAGUCGAACGAAACCUUCGGGUCUAGUGGCGCACGGGUGCGUAACGCGUGGGAACCUGCCCUUAGGUUCGGAAUAACUCCCCGAAAGGGGUGCUAUUACCGGAUAAUGUCUUCGGACCAAAGAUUUAUCGCCUUUGGAUGGGCCCGCGUUGGAUUAGCUAGUUGGUAGGGUAAAAGCCUACCAAGGCGACGAUCCAUAGCUGGUCUGAGAGGCUGAUCAGCCACACUGGGACUGAGACACGGCCCAGACUCCUACGGGAGGCAGCAGUGGGGAAUAUUGGACAAUGGGCGAAAGCCUGAUCCAGCAAUGCCGCGUGAGUGAUGAAGGCCUUAGGGUUGUAAAGCUCUUUUACCCGGGAUGAUAAUGACAGUACCGGGAGAAUAAGCUCCGGCUAACUCCGUG
rnacentral:rRNA from 1 species